rnacentral:lncRNA from 1 species
CUUUUCUGCACAUAAUCUCUGCCUCAGAGUCUACUUCCCUAGUGGAAUAUAAACUGUUAUGAGCACUUUAUAAAACUGUUGGGAAUACCUUGGUAAAGUUGAAGAUGCCUAAAACUUACAACUUCCAUUCCAGGUCCAGGUGUAUAUACUCGAGCAACUCUCACCCAAAAAUUUACAGUGGGGUUCUUCUUGAUGGAAAGAGAUGAAGAUGUUAUCAGGAAGGUGCCACGUGGCCUUCAAAGCCACAUGGUUUGAGCACAGAUGAUGCUUUAGACACCGGGACCACAAGAGUUGGUGAGGAAAAGAUCCCUUGUUUCCAGAUUGAGGGUAGCAGUCCAGAAAAGCAGACUGACCUGGGGGCAUGAACGACAACCAACCACGAUGUGGACUACCAGUAAACUGACAGCAGAAUUGAGUGUCAAGAUGCUUUUCAACUGUUUUUUGAAAAAGACACCUCUGAAGCUUGCUCUCCAUAAAAGGUCAGUAAUUUCUUACUUUCACCUGUCUUUAAAUAUUCUAAGAC